rnacentral:sRNA from 1 species
GCACCAUACUAUUCGGAGGCCUUGCAGC